rnacentral:misc_RNA from 1 species
GAUGAAGAACGCAGCGAAAUGCGAUAAGUAAUGUGAAUUGCAGAAUUCCGUGAAUCAUCGAAUCUUUGAACGCACAUUGCGCCCCCUGGCAUUCCGGGGGGCAUGCCUGUCCGAGCGUCAUUUCUGUCCUCCAGCCCGGCUGGGUGUUGGGCGCUGUCCCCCCGGGGACACGCCCCAAAGGCAGUGGCGGCGCCGCGUCGGGUCCUCGAGCGUAUGGGGCUUUGUCACCCGCUCGGGACGGACUCGUCGGCGCUGGUCUUCCUCCAGGCGACCCUUCGGGGCUCGUCUUCCUUCGGUUGACCUCGGAUCAGGUAGGGUUACCCGCUGAACUUAAGCAUAUCAAUAAGCGGAGGA